GUAAAUACCGCACUGUCUGGUCAGUGAAUCCUGGAAAUGGUCAAGCUGAAGGACACUUCUGACCACAAUGUACAGGUGACAAUGAAACAUAUGAAGGUUCUAUCCAUUUAAGGACCUUGUCAACGAGAAUGAUGUGGCCACUGGCGGAUGCUUUAUAGUGCUACCACACUGAAAUGCGACAUCCAGACGUAACACUCCAACUGCAACUUGCUGUACAAACUUUCAUGCUGAAAAUCAAGCAGAGAGCUGCGUGUCUCGGCCAAGUGACAUUACUCGUAAUAUUUCUCACAGAACCAGGACUAAUGUGCAAUGGAAGGCAGAAUGUGUGGCAGUGCCCCGAUUGUCUGAACCCGCAUCAUGGAAAAAAGUUUCAUUGGAUGUUGUAGUGUGUGCAAUAGGUUAAUUCAUAUUUGGCCAUUGUUUUGUCGAUUUUGAGACAGACUUACGAUUUCAUUAUUAUGUCGGUAUUAUCCGAUAUUUUUUGGUAAUAAUAGUCUUAUUGUUGGUAGGUUCCGUUGACAUUUUUAGCGGUUAUGUGAUUUUAGUUUUUACAUGCAAGUUUUGUAGAAUUGUGCUUAUAGGUAUAGGGUGACAUUUUAGAAUGGGAUAAUUUUUUUUUGGACAUUAUUUCUUAUUUGAAUACAGAAAGAAAAAUAUAUCUAGAUAAGUAUGUAUACGAAUUAACAAAUGUUAUUAAAUUUUCAGAAAUAAUGAACACAAAAAAUGUCAAAAAGUGAAGAAAUUUAAGUAGAUUUAUAAAAAUUGUGUUUCAAAAAGUCCCAUGAUCCGUCCUCCAUAUCAAAUGCUUUGUUUGUACAUUGUUGUAAAUAUGUUUUUCUCUGUACAUCUAAUUUUGUGAAGAGAAAUGAAAUAAAGUUUGAAAGUUGUAA